GACGAACGCUGGCGGCGUGCUUAACACAUGCAAGUCGAACGGAAAGGCCCUGCUUUUGUGGGGUGCCCGAGUGGCGAACGGGUGAGUAACACGUGUGUAACCUGCCCUUGACUUUGGGAUAACUUCAGGAAACUGGGGCUAAUACCGGAUAGGAGCUCCUGCUGCAUGGUGGGGGUUGGAAAGUUUCGGCGGUUGGGGAUGGACUCGCGGCUUAUGAGCUUGUUGGUGGGGUAGUGGCUUACCAAGGCUUUGACGGGUAGCCGGCCUGAGAGGGUGACCGGCCACAUUGGGACUGAGAUACGGCCCAGACUCCUACGGGAGGCAGCAGUGGGGAAUAUUGCACAAUGGGCGGAAGCCUGAUGCAGCAACGCCGCGUGCGGGAUGACGGCCUUCGGGUUGUAAACCGCUUUCGCCUGUGACGAAGCGUGAGUGACGGUAAUGGGUAAAGAAGCACCGGCUAACUACGUG
rnacentral:rRNA from 1 species